rnacentral:rRNA from 1 species
AGGGGGAACCUGACGCAGCAACGCCGCGGUGGAGGAUGACACUUUUCGGAGCGUAAACUCCUUUUCUUAGGGAAGAAUUCUGACGGUACCUAAGGAAUAAGCACCGGCUAACUCCGUGCCAGCAGCCGCGGUAAUAAUAGUGCCAUCAGACGCGUAAAUAA